GAUAUGGGCAAUGGGGGCAACCCUGACGCAGCCAUGCAGGGUGUGUGGGGAGGCAAUAAAGGUUGUAAAGCACUUUCAAUUGGGAGGAAAGGUGCAGGUUAAUAACCUGUAACUAAGACGUUACCUUAGAAGAAGCACCGGCUAACUCCGUGCCAGCAGCCGCGUAAUACGGAGGGUGCGAGCGUUAAUCGGAAUUACUGGGCGUAAAGCGCGCGUAGGCGGUUAGUUAAGUCAGCUGUGAAAUCCCCGGGCUCAACCUGGGAAUUGCAGUUGAUACUGGCCAACUAGAGUACGAGAGAGGAAGGUAGAAUUCCACGUGUAGCGGUGAAAUGCGUUCAUUGGGGCGCAUUACCGGUUGGAAGGCGGCCUCUGGCUCGAUACUGACGGUGGGGUGGAUAGGG
rnacentral:rRNA from 1 species